rnacentral:rRNA from 1 species
UACGUAGGGAGCAAGCGUUGUCCGGAAUCACUGGGCGUAAAGGGCGCGUAGGCGGUCUGUUAAGCGUGUGGUGAAAGCUCGGGGCUCAACCCCGAGUCUGCCAUGCGAACUGGUGGACUUGAGCACUGUAGAGGCAGGUGGAAUUCCGGGUGUAGCGGUGGAAUGCGUAGAGAUCCGGAAGAACACCGGUGGCGAAGGCGGCGCUCUGGACCGAGACUGACGCUGAGGCGCGAAAGCGUGGGGAGCAAACAGG